AUAGCUCUGUUCAGCCUCUUGAUUGGCCUGGAACACAAAUCACCGCAUGAAUUUUAGCAAAGAGAUCAAAGGAGCAGAAAAAACAGAACAAACUUUAUUUCUUGGUAGGUUGAUAAUGCAAGUACCAAUAAAAUUUUAGACAAAGACAUGUCAACGUAGACCAUUUAAAACUAAGUUAUUGAGAGGCUAACCCAUAGUCCAACUUCUGAAACCAGUUUCCCAAUCAUACUGCAAUUCUGUUGAUUCUUCAUCAUAACUUUAACUGUCUCAGCAUCACAUAUCCUGAUCCCACUUGCACUGCCUAUCCAAAUGUCACCAUUGUGGGGAGGAUGAAGAAUAGAAGAGCUACAAAGAUUCAAUGCAAAGUACACCUGACUGCAGGCACAUAUCCAGUAAAAAACAUGGGUGUGCUCAUGUACACAUAAUAAUCUUUGAAAGGGAUCGAAGGUGGCAGGUGCAUGUACACACAUGUAAUUAGAUGGACUCACAGAGCUUAGAACAUUAAAGGGGACUGUGCCUUAGUAGAUCUAUCAGUUAGGAUAAAAUUGCCAUUUGAAUAGCAUGUAAACAGUAAACAAAAGUUGCUAAACAACACAUGAGCACUACAGUGCCAAGAUUUAAGUAUAAUCAAUUUCCACUUAUGAAGCUAACAUAGCGAGUGCAUUGAGUUAUUUGCAGUCUCUUUCCAACAUUUCUCUGCACUACAUAAUCACAUGUUCAGUAGAGACAUGCUACACUUAAACCAGUAGCCUUUAGUCGAGAAAGAAAGGCACCAUCCUAGCUCAUAAGAACUGAAAGAGUCAUCACCUGUCUCUAUAAGGUGAAGCUUCAUCUUUGCUUUAACUCUGCUAGUUGGAGUCUACAGGAAAAUCGACAGUUCAUAUUUCAAAUAAAACGGGAAACAAACAAAACAAUUCUACAAUAGGCCAAAAAAUAGACGAAGCAACAUGAGAGGAACACGACAUACUGGAGCAACGCGAGGGACCGUCGAACUAUGCAUCAGAUGCUGCCACUACACGCAAAAAGGAAACCAAACCGGAGCUAGAAGAACCGAGGAGGAGCUAUACAAACCUAGAUCACGGGCUCUACGACCAGCCAAACAAAGACGACGACACGAUGACCUAGAUCUACACAAAAGCAAGAAUUCUAUCUACAAUUGAAUGCUGAAAGUAUAUCAACAUUCGUCAAAGUGAGUGUAUCUGUUUAUGGUCGAAAGAGGUUGCCACAAAAUAAAACCUCACUGUAGAAAAAAACAGGAUAAUUGUACCAUGAAAUGAGCAAGAAUGGGCAGUAAAACCCACCAAUCCCCACUGCCCGUUGUACUCAUCGCUUCGAUCCAGUGCUGGAAAGCCAACUUGAGGGCCUUGUCAUCUCUGGAUAACCCCUAGCCCACCUGUUACAAGCCAGCAACAUGAGUAGUAGAGAAGGCUGAAAAAGUCUUAAAAUUUGGUUUAUAAUGAGCAGGAGGGUUUUUUCUCUAGUAGUUGUAGCAGUUGGGAUGACCUUGGAUGCGUUGAGGCUACCCACAAGAGUUCAACCAAGAUUUUUGAAGUAUUUAGCAAAGGUGUGAAGAAUUGUCUAAACAUCACCUUCACCAUUGCUGGCUGAUCUGCCUGCUCCUCUCGUGCACCUCCUCCAUGAAAGGAUCCUGGCCUCUGGUGGGCGUGGCUGGAUACCUGGAUCUGGCAGUGGGAGCCGGCGGUGCUGCUACUGGCACGGAGGCGUGGAUGUGGAUGAUGCGCGGUGUCAGCGGUGCGAGAAAGGAGGUUGUUGCCGAGUAGGGAUGUGAUCACAUGGGGGAUUGGCG
rnacentral:lncRNA from 1 species